UGUAUGGGGAUCUGCCCGAUAGAGGGGGAUAACUACUGGAAACGGUGGCUAAUACCGCAUAAUGUCUACGGACCAAAGCAGGGGCUCUUCGGACCUUGCACUAUCGGAUGAACCCAUAUGGGAUUAGCUAGUAGGUGGGGUAAAGGCUCACCUAGGCGACGAUCUCUAGCUGGUCUGAGAGGAUGAUCAGCCACACUGGGACUGAGACACAGCCCAG
rnacentral:rRNA from 1 species